rnacentral:lncRNA from 1 species
GGAAUGAAAAAAUAGAAGGAUAAGAGGAAGAAAAAAAUAGAAGGCUAAGAGGAAGAAAAAAAAGGAAUUAUGUUUGUAAUAUUUCAAUACAUACUCCUUCAAAAAAAAUGAAUAAAAAGAGGAAGGAGAAGAGAAAACAAUUGCUAUAGAGUUGUUCAAGUGAAUGGAAUAUUUUGUAAAUUCAACUCCCGCAGUUUCUUUCAAGUCUCUUUUAUCUCUUUGAAUUUUAGCCUAGUACCCCU